GCACUGCUGGUGUAGCGGUAUCACACGGAAUUCCCGGUCUUGUGACCUGGGUUCAUUUCCCAGACAGUGCA
rnacentral:tRNA from 1 species